rnacentral:rRNA from 1 species
AAGUCGAACGGCUCUUCGGAGCAGUGGCGCACGGGUGAGUAACGCGUGGGAACCUACCCUGAGGUUCGGAAUAACGGCUGGAAACGGCCGCUAAUACCGGAUGUGUCCUAUGGGGCAAAGGCUUGCCGCCUUGGGAGGGGCCCGCGUCCGAUUAGCUUGUUGGUGAGGUAACGGCUCACCAAGGCGUCGAUCGGUAGCCGGCCUGAGAGGGUGACCGGCCACACUGGGACUGAGACACGGCCCAGACUCC